CCAAAUAAUGAAAACUCCAUUAAAUAAAACCCACAAUCUCCUAUCCAUUUCUUUAUAAUAACUUUUUUUAUAUUUAUUUAAUAGAGAUCAAAAUCACAACUUUGCUAUCAGCAAUCUUGAAAAGUAAUAUCAAACAAGUCAAAGAAUUUUGAUUCUCUUUUAUUACAAGGAAAAAUGAUAAUUGUUUUGGUUAUUCAAUUACCUAACAACAGGAUAAA